CUGUACUGGGGGUGGGGGCUCAGUGGGGGAUGGUCUCCCCAGCACUCAGGGCUGGCCCCAGUGGGGUGCAAGGGUCUGUCUGUGUGGGGAGGGGAGAGCCGGGGGUGUCUUUAGGGGAGGGACAGGAUCUAAGCCUGUAACCUGAGCCAGGUAGCGGGGAGGGGGUCAGCACCUGGGCCCGGGAAGCUGGACAAUGGAAUCCGCCGGCUGGAGGAGGGGCAGUUCAGUUUCGGUUUGGGGCUGGGUGAUGGGAAUUCAGGGGAUCCUGUGCUGGGAUCCAAGCGCCCUGAACCCCGAGAAGGACUCGAUUGGGGGGUCCUGGUUGGGCCUCCAGGCUCUGCUGUAACCUGCAAUCCUGUUGUCCAAUAAACCUUCUGUUUUACUGGCUG